rnacentral:rRNA from 1 species
AGUGAACGCUGGCGGUAGGCCUAACACAUGCAAGUCGAACGGCAGCACAGUAAGAGCUUGCUCUUACGGGGUGCGAAUGGCGGACGGGUGAGGAAUACAUCGUAAUCUACUUUUUCGUGUGGGUUAACGUAGGGAAACUUACUCUAAUACCGCAUACGACCUACGGGUGAAAGCAGUGGAUCUUCGGACCUUGCGCGAUUGAAUGAGCCGAUGUCGGAUUAGCUAGUUGGCGGGGUAAAGGCCCACCAAGGCGAGGAUCCGUAGCUUGUCUGAGAGGAUGGUCAGCCACACUGGAAGUGAGACACGGUCCAGAGUCCUACGGGAGGCAGCAGUGGGGAAUAUUGGACAAUGGGCGCGAGCAUGAUACAGUCAGACCGAGUGUGUGGAGACGGCCUUCGGGUUGUAAAGACCUUUUGUUGGGAAAGAAAAGCAGCAGGUUAAUACCCAGCUGUUCUGACGGUACCCAAAGAAUAAGCACCGGCUAACUUCGUG